rnacentral:lncRNA from 1 species
ACUGUCUCUGCCACGCACGGAGACAUGGACCAGAACACUAGGGACAUCAUCAUGAGGGAGUUCAGAUCUGGAUCUUCUCGUGUGCUCAUCACCACCGACCUGCUGGCCCGUGGUAUUGAUGUGCAGCAAGUCUCCCUUGUCAUCAACUACGACCUGCCGACUCAGCCUGAGAACUACCUCCAUCGCAUUGGUCGUAGUGGUCGGUUCGGGAGGAAGGGAGUUGCCAUCAACUUUGUCACCCGUGAAGAUGAGA